GAUCAUGGCUCAGGAUGAACGCUAGCGGAAGGCUUAAUACAUGCAAGUCGAGCGGUAGGUGGCUUCGGCCAUUGAGAGCGGCGCACGGGUGAAUAACGCGUACAUGACCUGCCUGUCAGAAGGGGAUAGCCCUGGGAAACUGGGAUUAAUACCCUAUGGUAUUGAUAUUAUGAAUGAUAUCAAUUAAAGUUGAGGCGCUGACAGAUGGAUGUGCGUCUGAUUAGCUAGUUGGUAGGGUAACGGCCUACCAAGGCGACGAUCAGUAGGGGGCGUGAGAGCGUGGUCCCCCACACGGGUACUGAGACACGGACCCGACUCCUACGGGAGGCAGCAGUAAGGAAUAUUGGUCAAUGCCCGCAAGGGUGAACCAGCCAUUCCGCGUGGAGGAUGAAGGCCCUAUGGGUUGUAAACUUCUUUUAGAUGGGAAGAAAAUGCUAGAUGUAUCUGGUACUGACGGUACCAUCAGAAUAAGCACCGGCUAACUCCGUG
rnacentral:rRNA from 1 species